AAUGCACACAAAACCCAAAGGUCAUUACUGUUCCAUUAAUGUUCUUUAUAAGAUGUGUGCAUAGAGUGAAACAGAACCUUGUCGCCUUUCACAUGCUGCCGUGCAACUGAAAGUGAAUUCAAGGUCCGACACUU